UGACACUGAAGAAUUACAGAAUGGCCACUGA
rnacentral:piRNA from 1 species